rnacentral:rRNA from 1 species
AGUUUGAUCCUGGCUCAGAGCGAACGCUGGCGGCAGGCUUAACACAUGCAAGUCGAGCGGACCUUUCGGGGUCAGCGGCGGACGGGUGAGUAACGCGUGGGAACGUGCCUUCCGGUUCGGAAUAACCCUGGGAAACUAGGGCUAAUACCGGAUACGCCCUUAUGGGGAAAGGUUUACUGCCGGAAGAUCGGCCCGCGUCUGAUUAGCUAGUUGGUGGGGUAACGGCCUACCAAGGCGACGAUCAGUAGCUGGUCUGAGAGGAUGAUCAGCCACACUGGGACUGAGACACGGCCCAGACUCCUACGGGAGGCAGCAGUGGGGAAUAUUGGACAAUGGGCGCAAGCCUGAUCCAGCAAUGCCGCGUGAGUGAUGAAGGCCUUAGGGUUGUAAAGCUCUUUUACCCGGGAUGAUAAUGACAGUACCGGGAGAAUAAGCUCCGGCUAACUCCGUGCCAGCAGCCGCGGUAA